AAACCAACAGGGAUUGCCCUAGUAACGGCGAGUGAAGCGGCAACAGCUCAAAUUUGAAAGCUGGCCUUCGGGUCCGCAUUGUAAUUUGUAGAGGAUGAUUUGGGGCAGCCGCCUGUCUAAGUUCCUUGGAACAGGACGUCAUAGAGGGUGAGAAUCCCGUAUGUGACAGGACAUGGCACCCUAUGUAAAUCUCCUUCGACGAGUCGAGUUGUUUGGGAAUGCAGCUCUAAAUGGGAGGUAAAUUUCUUCUAAAGCUAAAUAUUGGCGAGAGACCGAUAGCGCACAAGUAGAGUGAUCGAAAGAUGAAAAGCACUUUGGAAAGAGAGUUAAAAAGCACGUGAAAUUGUUGAAAGGGAAGCGCUUGCAAUCAGACUUGUUUAAACUGUUCGGCCGGUCUUCUGACCGGUUUACUCAGUUUGGACAGGCCAGCAUCAGUUUCGGCGGCCGGAUAAAGGCUCUGGGAAUGUGGCCUCCACUUCGGUGGAGGUGUUAUAGCCCAGGGUGUAAUACGGCCAGCCGGGACUGAGGUCCGCGCUUCGGCUAGGAUGCUGGCGUAAUGGUUGUAAGCGAC
rnacentral:rRNA from 2 species